rnacentral:lncRNA from 1 species
AGGAAGUAGAGCAGGAUCGUGGCCGUUAUUAUGGCCUGCUAGGGAGUAGUGGAGCUGCGCGGGAUCCGUCAUAGGAAGUGGAGCAGUGCUGUGACCAUUACUGCGGCCUGUCAGGGAGUGAUAGAGCUGCGCGGGAUCCGUCAUAGGAAGUGGAGCAGGAUCGUGGCCGUUAUCGUGGCCUGCUUGGGAGUGCAGAUCCGUCGGUUGAAGUUCGGCAGCGGUCGGAGCUGAUGACGGAGCCCGGUUCCCGUGGGAGUCCGGGCGGAGUUUCCCUUGAGGUUG